AUUGAACGCUGGCGGCAGGCCUAACACAUGCAAGUCGAGCGGAUGAGUGGAGCUUGCUCCAUGAUUCAGCGGCGGACGGGUGAGUAAUGCCUAGGAAUCUGCCUGGUAGUGGGGGACAACGUUUCGAAAGGAACGCUAAUACCGCAUACGUCCUACAGGAGAAAGUGGGGGAUCUUCGGACCUCACGCUAUCAGAUGAGCCUAGGUCGGAUUAGCUAGUUGGUGAGGUAAAGGCUCACCAAGGCGACGAUCCGUAACUGGUCUGAGAGGAUGAUCAGUCACACUGGAACUGAGACACGGUCCAGACUCCUACGGGAGGCAGCAGUGGGGAAUAUUGGACGAUGGGCGAAAGCCUGAUCCAGCCAUGCCGCGUGUGUGAAGAAGGUCUUCGGAUUGUAAAGCACUUUAAGUUGGGAGGAAGGGCAGUAAGUUAAUACCUUGCUGUUUUGACGUUACCAACAGAAUAAGCACCGGCUAACUUCGUGCCAGCCGCCGCCGUAAUAC
rnacentral:rRNA from 1 species